CAAGCUGCCGAAGGAUAUUACAUUGGAGGAAAUCUAACAUACAUCACUGGCGAACUAAACGAAACUAUUGAU
rnacentral:tRNA from 1 species